CCCAGCAGCUUCUCCAUCCCCGCGCCGGCUCUCCUCCUCCUGGCGCCUGACGGCGUCCCUCCCCGCGCUCCCGCAGUGCCCGCGCCCUUCGCGGGGGCUCCAGGGCCUGCUCGCGCUCCGCCCAGCGCUCCAACCUUCUCUGCUCCCAGCUCGCUCACGACUCAGUCUAUCUCUAUAUCAGUAACAUCUCCACCCUUUUGAAGAGUCCACAAGACUCUAGGAGCCUUCAAGGGGGAGAGGUUGUUACAAAGAGGUGUUUGGGAGACUGAUAAGGAGACAAUCAUGGUUCCUGCCCUUUGGGAGUGCAGUUCUAUUAGAGCAGCUUUCCCAGAACUCUGGAUGAAAUGCCCCUGAUGGAGACAGCAGCUUCAGGCCGGUGGGCUAGAGGACAGAGGAUUCAACCAGAUUAACCGAACAAUCCUGAUGCACAUGCCGUGACCAAGCUCUGAGGAAUGUCAUCCUCACAGCGUGGACUCUUGUUUUAACCAUAACCGCCAUGGAGCCGAGAGUCCAGCCAUUUGCAGUGACUCUGGGAUUCUGGCAUGGUAUGCGUUUGCCUACGCUUAGACAGCAGGUUAGAGGCAGAGCCAGGGCUGAAUUUCAGAUUUACUGCCUCCAAAUUUGGUGCUCUUUCCCUUCAACAUGACUUCCUCUCUUCGGAGAGUUUAUUUUCUCUUUUCUGUUGUCCCUCCUGGAAGCCUCCUUCCUCCCUCUCCCAUUAAAACCCUGCUUAGGGCUUACAGUUUCUCUGAGGUGUUGCCCCUCCUUCCAGUUUAUCCUGGCUGCUCAUUUGUUCUCUUUCCUUCUGACAACCCUCCAUCAAUGUCACUGAUUUGUCUUCAUCCAUCCUUUAAAUCCCCCUUUAAAGAUUCACUAAUCAUUCUUCUCUUCUUAACAUUCCUCCAGACUUCUUAUUCCCCACCCCUUUCGCAGUGUUCCUGUAGAAGCCAUGCAUUUGUUCAUUUAACCACUCAACACCUAUUUACUAAGCACCUGCUAUGUGUCAAGCACUGUUGCAGGAGUUAGGGUACAGUGGUGAGAAAGCGAGUCGUGGUCCCUUAUCCUCUGGCCAUUUAGAUUGUAUUGGGAAAGACUAACAAUAGGCAAGUAAACAAAUUAACAAGGUAAUUAUAGACGUAGCAAGUGCUUUGAAGAAUAUAAAGGGGGUAAUACAAGACGAAUUAAGCGGAGGAGGUGUGCACUGCUUUUAAUAGGGUGUUCAGGAAAGCUUCUCUGGGGAGCUGACAUUUGGGUUGAGCCCUGACUGCCGAGAGGGAGGGAGAAGAACUGGGGGAGAGCUUCCGAGACAGGGGGAACAGCAGGUGCAAAGACCUGCUGUUUGGAUAAAGCCUGCGGUAUGAUGAGAAUGGUUUGAUAUGAAAUUGGAGCGGUGCUAGGUGCCAGGCUGUCAGACCCUUGGGACCAGGAUAAGGAAUUGGGUUUGGGCAGUGGAAUGCCGCUGGAGGGCUUCAGUGGGGAAUUUACAUGGUCCGCUUCACGUAUUCAGACACUCACUUUGUGCUAGUAGUCUUUUCUCUCCAUUUCCUUUUCUAACUCUUGUCUUCCUUUGCAUAUUUUCAUUCAAGACGAGUGUCCCAUUCCAUGCCACUUCCCCAUGGGGGAGAAUGAGUCUUCCAAACAAAUUAUUUAUUAACCUGAGCACCAAAGGUAGCUAAUUUGAUUCUGGCUCCCAUCUCUAUUCAAGAGUUCAAAGAAUCAUAGAUUUGUAGAAUAUUAGAGUUGAAAGGGACAUUAUUGACACGUAAUCUAACCCUUACAUUAUGGGUAAGAAAAUUGGGGCCCAGAGGAGUGACCUCGCUUGUGAAGAUAAUUCAUAUGUUAAGUGGGGAGACUUUCUGGUCUUUACCCCUCAGAAAUGCAGGAACAGGUUGUUUCUGUCUCUUACACACAUAUUUCAAUUUAAAAGGUACUAACUGACCACUCACUAUAUGUCCAGAGUCAGGGCCCAGCUUCACAGGAAUAGCAGGAGCAAGUGACAAGGUUCGUGCACAGCAACACUGGGGUAUGAUGGUGAGGUGACAGCCACUGUCCUCAGGCAGCUUAAAAUGCAUGGCCAAGAGAGAUACUGCAUAGUCACAUAGUGUGCACACACUGUCACAUGAAGGAACCCACAGGGUGGUGAGGCCCGCAUCAGGCAGGCCUUAGUGCAGCAAGCUGAAGUCACUUCAUGGGUUUUAAGCAACAAGGGAUUUAAUACAGGGAACUAGGUGAUAAGAAAGUCACUGAAACGCCUGGAGGAUGACAAGUCAACUGCUCCUAACUGGACUCUCGGCUUCAAGGUCAAUUGUCAUAGGCCAGAAAUGCUGCAGCUCCUCCUGGCGUAGCAGCUACUGCCCCAACUGUCCCACUUGCAUGGGCCUCUCAUGUUCACAGGAGCUUGUCCAUCCUAUCUGUCGUAGGAAAUGGAUACCUCUGCCUUUACAAUUUCAAACACAUCUAAUUAGAACUCAAUUCAUGUCCAGAACCUAGCUACAAAAUUUUCUGAGAAAUAGAAUUUCUUU